rnacentral:lncRNA from 1 species
CCUGCUGGGAGAGCGAGUUCCUGCGCUCGCCGAGGAGUGGGUCCGGAAGCGGCGCCGGAGCGGGUCCGGAAGCGGGCGGUGGAGAAGUCCAGUUGCCCCAAAAUUCUUAGGGAAAUAACGUGCGCGGCGGAGGAGCCCUGUCCUGGAGAAUAACGCGUGAAGAAGACAGUGGACUGGGCAUUUCGUCCAGAUGAAUGAGCAUGGUAGUUAAGUGUAGAAGGUGACCUUCUUCCCUCUGGAGAGACCAGGGAGGGGGGAACCACCGGAGGAGUUUCUAGCGGUUGCAGCUACUUGAGGUUCCAGUCUAAUAACUACGAACUGUUCAUUUCAAGUAGCAUUAAAGUAGAUUUGCUACAGUAACAAUUACACUUGGCUAAGGAAAAUUUGCAAGGCAACAUGGUCUAUUGCAUAGAGCACUGAGCCACAUGUUAACACUGUAACAAACACUUGCUAUUUUGAAAUUUUACGCUUCAUCUUUUGCAAAUCAGAUGCAGGUGCAGAGUGAAUUAAGAGGAGCUGAAUUAAGAGAGAAGCUUGCAUGCACUGCUGUCAAAACCUAAACACACUGGCUUUUUUUUUUUUAACAGUUCCUUUUUUCAAGGUAUAGAUUCUGGGAAGGUAAGGGAAGAUAAAACAGCUUUUCUUUUUCUCUCCUGUUUUUUUUUUUGUUGUUUUUUUUUUGAGACUAGGUCUCACUCUAUUCCCCAUGCUGGAGUGCAGUGGCACAAUCAUAGCUUACAGUAGCCUCGAACAGCGAUCCUCUUGCCUCAGCCUCCAAAGUAGCUGGGACUACAGGCGCGCGCCACAACACCUGGCCAAGCGUUUCUUCCAGAUCAUUCCUUACUGGGUUGCUGGUUCAGUAAAAAUAAAAAAAUAAAAAAUAAUUUAGAAAUGA